CGCCAGACUCCUACGGGAGGCAGCAGUGGGGGAUAUUGCACAAUGGGGGAAACCCUGAUGCAGCGACGCCGCGUGAGUGAAGAAGUAUUUCGGUAUGUAAAGCUCUAUCAGCAGGGAAGAAGAUGACAGUACCUGAGUAAGAAGCCCCGGCUAACUACGUGCCAGCAGCCGCGGUAAUACGUAGGGGGCAAGCGUUAUCCCGAUUUACUGGGUGUAAAGGGAGCGUAGACGGCAGUGCAAGUCCGGAGUGAAAGCCCGGGGCUCAACCCUGGGACUGCUCUGGAAACUGUAAAGCUGGAGUGCGGGAGGGGCAGGCGGAAUUCCUGGUGUAGCGGUGAAAUGCGUAGAUAUCAGGAGGAACACCGGCGGCGAAGGCGGCCUGCUGGACCGUAACUGACGUUGAGGCUCGAAAGCGUGGGGAGCAAACAGGAUUAGAUACCCGCGUA
rnacentral:rRNA from 1 species